rnacentral:lncRNA from 1 species
GGAGGGAAAAGUUUUUUUGUUUUAACCCUGGUGAAAAAGUUCUUUUAACCUUGGUGAAAAAGUUCUUUUAAAAAAACAUUAGGGAAAAUAUGUAGAAUUGGAAUAAAAAAGGGGAAACAAACAUCUCUAGGAAAAUAGGCAAGCAUUCUUGUCUGUCUUAUGCAAAUAUUGAAACAGUGACAUGUUAUGCAAAUAACGACGUCGUAUUAGUGGCAGGUUUUGUUCGCCUUGGUGUCUACAACACGAAUAGCAACAAGUUUCAAUAUUUGCAUAAGAAGACACAAGAAUGCUUGUCUAUUUUUCUAGAGAUGUUUGUUUCCCCUUUUUCUAAAUAUUUUUCAAAAUGUUUUUUUAAAGGAAAAUGUAUUUUUAAAAAACUUUUUCACCAAGGUUAAAAGAACUUUUUCACCAGGGUUAAAACCAAAAAAAAAUUUCCUCCCUCCUUUCUGCAGGUAUCAGUACAGUAGUACAAGAUAAAACUGUUUCUUUUUUCUCACUUUUUUUAAUCAAAAACAUAAAAUAAAAUUUUAAAUUAUUCAAAAGGUCAUGAUGCAAUUCGAGAAACACUGACAAAGAAACCAAAACUACAAUUUUUUUUUAAAAAAAGUUCAUGAACUUUGUCCUCUUGUGUAGUAACCAAAGACAACAAAACCCUAAUAGUACACAACACCCUCUCUUGACUCUCACAAUAUAUACAUAGGGGUCUCUGUCACUUCAUAUCUUCUCCGAUUCUCCUCAAAUACAGAAAAACCCUACAAGCUUUGUGUUUCUGUCACUUCGUAUCUUCUCCGAUUCUCCUCAAAGACAGAAAAAACCCUACAAGCUUUGUGUUUCUGUCACUUCAUAUCUUCUCCGAUUCUCCUCAAACACAUCUCUUACACACUUAGGGUCGCUGUUUCUUCAUCUUCUUGGUGGGUUUUUUUUCUUUUGUUUCUUCUUUUGUUUUUCUUUUCGUCUCUACUCCCUUUAAUUAAAAGCUUCGUGUUUGUUGUUGCAGGUUUGAAGGUUAAACUCUACUCUUAAGGUCGGUUUUUGUCUUUUAUCUAAGUUCAUGCUUUAGUCUCUCUCUCUAGCUUUAUAGUUCUUGUAUAAAGCUUAAAACUCACCCGUAGGGCGGACCAACUCCUAGUAUAUAUAACUAGGGGUUGUCCGGUCCUACAGAAGGAAAAUUAUAAUGAAAAUUUUAUUUUAUAUAAAUAUAUAUAAUAAAUAUAUGAAACAUUUAAAAAAGUCUGUGUCAAUUGAAAAAUGAUAUUACAAACAAACUAAUAAUAAAUAUAAUUCUGAGACGUUUAAUGGGAAGUUGGAGAUUAUUGUUACUGACCUCUACUUCUACAAUCUCUCUGAUGGCUCCUUCUAGUUCUUUCUCAACCAGAGAUUCCGCUUCAGCCAAAGCUCUCUCUCUCUC